rnacentral:rRNA from 1 species
GACGAACGCUGGCGGCGUGCUUAACACAUGCAAGUCGAGCGGUAAGGCCCUUUCGGGGGUACACGAGCGGCGAACGGGUGAGUAACACGUGGGUGACCUGCCCUCAGCUCUGGGAUAAGCCUGGGAAACUGGGUCUAAUACUGGAUAUGACUCCACGGUGCAUGUCGUGGGGUGGAAAGCCUUGUGCGGCUGAGGAUGGGCCCGCGGCCUAUCAGCUUGUUGGUGGGGUGAUGGCCUACCAAGGCGACGACGGGUAGCCGGCCUGAGAGGGCGACCGGCCACACUGGGACUGAGACACGGCCCAGACUCCUACGGGAGGCAGCAGUGGGGAAUCUUGCGCAAUGGGCGAAAGACCUGACGCAGCGACGCCGCGUGAGGGA